rnacentral:rRNA from 1 species
AACGAACGCUGGCGGCAUGCCUAACACAUGCAAGUCGAACGAGACCUUCGGGUCUAGUGGCGCACGGGUGCGUAACGCGUGGGAACCUGCCCUUAGGUUCGGAAUAACUCCCCGAAAGGGGUGCUAAUACCGGAUAAUGUCUUCGGACCAAAGAUUUAUCGCCUUUGGAUGGGCCCGCGUUGGAUUAGCUAGUUGGUAGGGUAAAAGCCUACCAAGGCGACGAUCCAUAGCUGGUCUGAGAGGAUGAUCAGCCACACUGGGACUGAGACACGGCCCAGACUCCUACGGGAGGCAGCAGUGGGGAAUAUUGGACAAUGGGCGAAAGCCUGAUCCAGCAAUGCCGCGUGAGUGAUGAAGGCCUUAGGGUUGUAAAGCUCUUUUACCCGGGAUGAUAAUCACAGUACCGGGAGAAUAAGCUCCGGCUAACUCCGUG